rnacentral:rRNA from 1 species
UUGUCAGGGAAGAAACGGKUAGUGCCGAAUAACUAUUCCUAUUGCCGGUACCUUGAAGAAUAAGCACCGSCUAACUACGUGCCAGCAGCCCGCGGUAAUACGUAGGUUCCAAGCGUUAAUCGGAAUUACUGGCCGUAAAGCGUGCGCAGGCGGUUGUGUAAGUCAGAUGUGAAAUCCCCGGGCUCAACCUGGGAAUUGCAUUUGAGACUGCACGGCUAGAGUGUGUCAGAGGGGGGUAGAAUUCCACGUGUAGCAGUGAAAUGCGUAGAUAUGUGGAGGAAUACCGAUGGCGAAGGCASCCCCCUGGGAUAACACUGACGCUCAUGCACGAAAGCGUGGGGASCACACGGGAUUAGAUACCCUGGUAGUCCACRCCCUAAACGAKGUCUACUAGUUGUCGGGUCUUAAUUGACUUGGUAACNCAGCUAACGCGGAAGUAGCCCSSCUGGGGAGUACCGUUCCCAAGAUUAAAACUCAAAGGAAUUGACGGGACCCGCACAAGCGGUGGAUGAUGUGGAUUAAUUCGAUGCAACGCGAAAAACCUUACCUACCCUUGACAUGGAUGGAAUCCUGAAGAGAUUUGGGAGUGCUCGAAAGAGAACCAUCACACAGGUGCUGCAUGGCUGUCGUCAGCUCGUGUCGUGAGAUGUUGGGUUAAGUCCCGCAACGAGCGCAACCCUUGUCAUUAGUUGCUACGAAAGGGCACUCUAAUGAGACUGCCGGUGACAAACCGGAGGAAGGUGGGGAUGACGUCAAGUCCUCAUGGCCCUUAUGGGUAGGGCUUCACACGUCAUACAAUGGUACAUACAGAGGGCCGCCAACCCGCGAGGGGGAGCUAAUCCCAGAAAGUGUAUCGUAGUCCGGAUUGGAGUCUGCAACUCGACUCCAUGAAGUUGGAAUCGCUAGUAAUCGCGGAUCAGCAUGUCGCGUGA